rnacentral:rRNA from 1 species
AUUGUACGCUGGCGGCAGGCUUAACACAUGCAAGUCGAGCGGGGUGAUGGUGCUUGCACUAUCACUUAGCGGCGGACGGGUGAGUAAUGCUUAGGAAUCUGCCUAUUAGUGGGGGACAACAUCUCGAAAGGGAUGCUAAUACCGCAUACGUCCUACGGGAGAAAGCAGGGGAUCACUUGUGACCUUGCGCUAAUAGAUGAGCCUAAGUCGGAUUAGCUAGUUGGUGGGGUAAAGGCCUACCAAGGCGACGAUCUGUAGCGGGUCUGAGAGGAUGAUCCGCCACACUGGGACGGAGACACGGCCCAGACUCCUACGGGAGGCAGCAGUGGGGAAUAUUGGACAAUGGGGGGAACCCUGAUCCAGCCAUGCCGCGUGUGUGAAGAAGGCCUUAUGGUUGUAAGGCACUUUAAGCGAGGAGGAGGCUCUUUUGGUUAAUACCCAAGAUGAGUGGACGUUACUCGCAGAAUAAGCACCGGCUAACUCUGUGCCAGCCGCCGCAGUAA